GCUGUGGUGGGUCAGUGGUAGAGUCCUUGCCUUCCAAGCAGGAGACCUGGGUUCGAUUCCCAGCCAAUGCA
rnacentral:tRNA from 1 species